rnacentral:rRNA from 1 species
GUGCCAGCCGCCGCGGUAAUACCGGCAGCCCGAGUGAUGGCCGAUCUUAUUGGGCCUAAAGCGUCCGUAGCUGGCUGCGCAAGUCCGUCGGGAAAUCCGCCCGCUCAACGGGCGGCCGUCCGGCGGAACCUGUGUGGCUUGGGACCGGGAGGCCUGAGGGGUACGAUCGGGGUAGGAGUGAAAUCCCGUAAUCCUGGACGGACCGCCGAUGGCGAAAGCACCUCGAGAGGACGGACCCGACAGUGAGGGACGAAAGCCAGGGUCUCGAACCGGAUUAGAUACCCGGUAGUCC